AGCGAACGCUGGCGGCAGGCCUAUCACAUGCAAGUCGAACGAACCUUUCGGGGUUAGUGGCGGACGGGUGAGUAACACGUGGGAACGUGCCUUUAGGUUCGGAAUAACUCAGGGAAACUUGUGCUAAUACCGAAUGUGCCCUUCGGGGGAAAGAUUUAUCGCCUUUAGAGCGGCCCGCGUCUGAUUAGCUAGUUGGUUGAGGUAAUGGCUCACCAAGGCGACGAUCAGUAGCUGGUCUGGGAGGAUGAUCAGCCACAUUGGGACUGAGACACGGCCCAAACUCCUACGGGAGGCAGCAGUGGGGAAUCUUGCGCAAUGGGCGAAAGCCUGACGCAGCCAUGCCGCGUGAAUGAUGAAGGUCUUAGGAUUGUAAAAUUCUUUCACCGGGGACGAUAAUGACGGUACCCGGAGAAGAAGCCCCGGCUAACUUCGUG
rnacentral:rRNA from 1 species